AACGAACGCUGGCGGCAUGCCUAACACAUGCAAGUCGAACGAGAACUUCGGGACCAGUGGCGCCUGGGUGCGUAACGCGAGGGAACAUGCCCUUAGGUUUGGACUAACUCUCCGACAGGGGUGAUAAUACCGGAUCAUGUCUACGGCCCAAGGAUUUAUCGCACUUGGAGGGGCGAGCGUUGCAUUAGAUUGUUGGUAGGGUAAAAGACUACUAAGGCGACGAUUCAUAGCUUGGAUGAGAGAAAGGUCAGCGACACUGAGAGUGGGACCCGGCCCAGACUCUUACGGAAUGGAGCAAUGGGGAAUAUUGGACAGUGGGCUAAAGCCUGAUCCAGCAAUGCCGCUAGAGUGAUGAAAUCCGGAGGGUUGUAAAGCUCUUUUACCCGGGAUGAUAAUGACAGUACCGGGAGAAUAAGCUCCGGCUAACUCCGUG
rnacentral:rRNA from 1 species